rnacentral:tRNA from 1 species
GAGGGUAUAGCUCAAGCGGUAAAGCACAUGCUUAACAUGCAUCAAGGUCCUGGGUUCAAUCCCCGGUACCUCCA